GUCAGUGCACGGUGAUGUCGUGAUAUCGUUUAGCCAUAAUGAUGUCAACCCUCUACCAAUCACGGUGGAGAACCCACGUGACUUAUUUGGUAAUGUGCACGGCGACAAAUGUCAACAAGUCUCGAUUCAGGUAACGCUGAAUCUUUUAUUUGGUCCAGUCUGAACACAUAUUAUCUGAUCUACAUCAGUAAAACUGCGGUCGUUCGAACAAUACAGACAGGAACUCAUUGUAAAGAUGGAGUCUCAGAGUUAGAUGGGAAACAGCAAGAAGGAAUGAGAGCACACUAUAUUACCAAUUUACAGGCUAGGACUAAGACUUGAACAUCUAGAUAAGAGCUGAGCAUGGAACAUUAGAAUGUUCUAGACUAAAGGCUGAAAUGUGAUUACAAAAUAAUUGUGUUUCAAAGCUUGCUGAAUUAUAUAAGAUACAUGCAGUUAAGAGUUUAUAGGACAUCAAUGGGAAAAUGACAACAAUGCAUCUCUAAACCUUGUGAAAAUGUUUUAUGCUCAAUCCGUUUUCAUACUACUUUUACACAGCAAUUUUUUUCA